GUCCAUAUGGCUGACGUAUUGUAAUAAGUUUAGGACACAAUUUUGUACUUAAUACAUUGAUUUGAUCAAUAAAAAGAUAAAUUUUAUUUUCAUUCAAGAGUGAUGUAUCUUUGAAUCAUCCAUGAAAUUAAUACUUCGAUACAUAUUCUCAAACUAUUAAAAAUUAGAGACAUAUAUAAAAUUUUUAAAUACUCCCAAUCAUAGUAUCAUCAUGAGGAUGAUGAUCGAUCUGGAUAGAUCGAUGCAUAGAUUGCUUCUUUCGGGAU
rnacentral:lncRNA from 1 species